rnacentral:rRNA from 1 species
AUUGAACGCUGGCGGCAGGCCUAACACAUGCAAGUCGAGCGAGCGGCGGACGGGUGAGUAAUGUCUGGGAAACUGCCUGAUGGAGGGGGAUAACUACUGGAAACGGUAGCUAAUACCGCAUACCAUCAGAUGUGCCCAGAUGGGAUUAGCUAGUAGGUGGGGUAACGGCUCACCUAGGCGACGAUCCAUAGCCGACCUGAGAGGGUGAUCGGCCACACUGGAACUGAGACACGGUCCAGACUCCUACGGGAGGCAGCAGUAGGGAAUCGUCCGCAAUGGGCGAAAGCCUGACGGAGCAACGCCGCGUGUAUGAAGAAGGCCUUCGGGUUGUAAAGCACUUUAAGUUGGGAGGCGUUACCAGCAGAAUAAGCACCGGCUAACUUCGUGCCAGCAGCCGCGGUAAUAC